AACAAGGUCUCCGUAGGUGAACCUGCGGAGGGAUCAUUACACAAAUAUGAAGCCGGACUGGGAUAGGGCCUCGCUGCCUUGCCCGUCUGGCGCCAUAUUCACCCAUGUCUUUUUGCGUACUACUUGUUUCCUUGGCGGGUCCGCCCGCCAAUUGGACCUUAUUCAAACCUUUUUUUUCAGUUGCAAUCAGCGUCAGCAAAACAAAUGUAAUCAAUUACAACUUUCAACAACGGAUCUCUUGGUUCUGGCAUCGAUGAAGAACGCAGCGAAAUGCGAUAAGUAGUGUGAAUUGCAGAAUUCAGUGAAUCAUCGAAUCUUUGAACGCACAUUGCGCCCUUUGGUAUUCCAAAGGGCAUGCCUGUUCGAGCGUCAUUUGUACCCUCAAGCUUUGCUUGGUGUUGGGCGUCUUGUCUCUCUCCCGAGACUCGCCUUAAAAUCAUUGGCAGCCGGCCUACUGGUUUCGGAGCGCAGCACAUUAUUUGCGCUCUUGUCCAGCCGCGGUCGCGCGUCCAUGAAGCUUCUUUCAACCUUUUGACCUCGGAUCAGGUAGGGAUACCCGCUGAACUUAAGCAUA
rnacentral:rRNA from 1 species